rnacentral:snoRNA from 12 species
GCGAGUGUGCCUAAAAAGCGGUUGGGCUGUGUUUUCAAUGCACUGUAAAAACUGCAACGUCGCAGAAGAAAUUGCCCUUCGGGUGGCUUAUCUUGAUAUAUUCCACUAACUGUGCGUAGUCGUUUAGGCCUUGAUCGCGCAGUUAAACCAUAUCACGAACAGUC